rfam:Ornithorhynchus anatinus chromosome 4, whole genome shotgun sequence.
AGCAGUGUGGCUUAGUGGAGAGAUCAUGGGCUUGGGAGUCAGAGGACAUGGGUUCUAAUCCCAGCUCUGCUG